GGAAUCUUCGGCAAUGGACGAAAGUCUGACCGAGCAACGCCGCGUGAGUGAAGAAGGUUUUCGGAUCGUAAAACUCUGUUGUUAGAGAAGAACAAGGAUGAGAGUAACUGUUCAUCCCUUGACGGUAUCUAACCAGAAAGCCACGGCUAACUACGUGCCAGCAGCCGCGGUAAUACGUAGGUGGCAAGCGUUGUCCGGAUUUAUUGGGCGUAAAGCGAGCGCAGGCGGUUUCUUAAGUCUGAUGUGAAAGCCCCCGGCUCAACCGGGGAGGGUCAUUGGAAACUGGGAGACUUGAGUGCAGAAGAGGAGAGUGGAAUUCCAUGUGUAGCGGUGAAAUGCGUAGAUAUAUGGAGGAACACCAGUGGCGAAGGCGGCUCUCUGGUCUGUAACUGACGCUGAGGCUCGAAAGCGUGGGGAGCAAACA
rnacentral:rRNA from 1 species